GCACUGGGUGGAUGAGUGGCGAACGGGAGAGUAACACGUGAGUAACCUGCCCCGAACUCUGGGAUAAGCGCUGGAAACGGCGUCUAAUACUGGAUAUGUCCCAUCACCGCAUGGUGUGUGGGUGGAAAGAUUUAUCGGUUCGGGAUGGACUCGCGGCCUAUCAGCUUGAUGGUGAGGUAAUGGCUCACCAUGGCGACGACGGGUAGCCGGCCUGAGAGGGUGACCGGCCACACUGGGACUGAGACACGGCCCAGACUCCUACGGGAGGCAGCAGUGGGGAAUAUUGCACAAUGGGCGCAAGCCUGAUGCAGCAACGCCGCGUGAGGGAUGACGGCCUUCGGGUUGUAAACCUCUUUUGUCAGGGAAGAAGCGCAAGUGACGGUACCUGGAGAAAAAGCACCGGCUAACUACGUGCCAGCAGCCGCGGUAAUACGUAGGGUGCAAGCGUUGUCCGGAAUUAUUGGGCGUAAAGAGCUCGUAGGCGGCUUGUCGCGUCUGCUGUGAAAACCCGAGGCUCAACCUCGGGCCUGCAGUGGGUACGGGCAGGCUAGAGUGCGGUAGGGGAGAUUGGAAUUCCUGGUGUAGCGGUGGAAUGCGCAGAUAUCAGGAGGAACACCGAUGGCGAAGGCAGAUCUCUGGGCCGUAACUGACGCUGAGGAGCGAAAGCAUGGGGAGCGAACAGGAUUAGAUACCCUGGUAGUCCAUGCCGUAAACGUUGGGAACUAGAUGUAGGGCCUGUUCCACGGGUUCUGUGUCGUAGCUA
rnacentral:rRNA from 1 species